ACAAAUGUACAAAUACAUGAGAUUAGAUGCGUACCUUUCAUCAAAUUUAUCCGUGAUUAUAACUUUUGUCGUUUUCUUUUUACUUUUUCUUAUCACUUGUCCGUUCAUGGAAUUGGAUAUGAACGUACACAUUUGUAUUACGCAACAAUAUAUUCUACAUGUACCCGUUCCAUAAGUGGUGAUUAUUUAGAGAAAUUGUCUAGAAUCUAGAACUAUUAGUCACGCCUUACUGACCAGAUUUAAGAUACUAAUGAAUAAAUGUGAAAGUGGUUUGAUUUAUUGGCAUGUU
ensembl:ncRNA F15B9.12 ncRNA